UCUCAAAAAUUAAGAAAAAGAAACAAAAAAAAAAAGAAAAGAAAAAAGAAAAGAAAAAGAAAAUCUCUCUAAGCCAUAGCUGCCCAUCCCUAGCCUCAAAAACCUUAAUUAGAAUGUAUUGUUUUAUUAGAAGAAGAAAAAUCAAGAACUCCAAGACCCUCGAUCUCUUUGUGGCGGCCCACUCCAAGUUUCAAAAGAUUGCUUAUGACCCCAGCCCCACAGCAUCAUCGUCUCAUUGAUGGGUACGUCAUUUGUCGCGUUUUACAGCGGAGGUAGUCCACACUCCACAGCCUGCCCGCUAUGGUGAUCCGAGCAUGGCCCUCCUCAGAGAUCUCUCCAUGGUAGUGGAGGGCCAUGGAGGUUCGUCCCUUGCCCUCCACAACCACCAAGGAUUUGUCUUCAUUACUAUUUAAUUUAUUAAAAAAAUUUUGAGCUACAUAAGCUAUUUUAUAAGCGUUUUAAACAUGGAUGAAAUGAUUCAUUUGAUAUAUUUUUCGUCGGCAGGGAUUUAUUAAUUGGGUGUAAUUAAUUGAAAAUCCAAAGAACUUUUUGAGAAUGAGCCAAAUCCCAGCUAAUCUUAUCAGCACGAAUAUGACAUGACCUCAAUAAUAGAGGAUUUCCCAUGAUCGUUUUUAAAAGAAGAGUCUAUUUUUCACUGGAAAAGAUGACUAAUCUUUCUAGAGACAACUUG